rnacentral:lncRNA from 1 species
CCCAAUUCAAUAAAAUGAGCCCACCAAAUCUCGCGUCAGGCGUUCACACCAAGAAACAAUGGUCACUCUGUCCUCCAAAGAAGUUAUCGAUGGUCAAAACACAAUAAAUACCAAAUAAUCUACUCACUCCGCGUAGUAGUUCAAAAUCCCUUCAUUUCUCAAUUCCUUCUAGGUUUUGGGUCGUGUAGCUGCUCUUUUUACCACCAUUUCCCAUUUUGGGCAAAUCCGGGUAUGUUAUCUAUCUAUUUUUUCGUUUUCCAUUUCGUUUUUUGUUUGAAUUUCGUGUUUUUCUGGAACAAGUUGGUGUUUUUGUUUAGUUUGCGUUUGCGAUUUUAGGGUUUUGUUGAAGAUUAAUGUUGGGUUUGUUUUUGUGGAUUUGGCGUAGGUGGGUGAGCGGUAAGUGGUGACUGUUUUGAGUGGAGGUUGUGGCCUGGAAUCGAGGAGAGGGAAGCUCAUGUGG